GCAAAUUCCGAGGACAACCCACAUUUGUUUUUGAGGUAUGAAACUGUAAAUGAAUCCUCAUUUGAAGAACUAGCAAGGAAUUUACCAGUUUUUGGACGAAAAAAAGAAAAUAUUUCUUCUUUGAAAUUUGAAUGGGGGGCAGCUUCUGGGUUUAAAGGAAGAA